CUGAAGCAAAAGAUCAAAAGAAUUAGAAAGAAAAGGUUAGUGUGACAUGCAAUAUCAUCCAAUUUACUAGGAGAAAUUGCACCAUUGCACCAAAGGGGAUGAUCAACAGGUUGGAAUUAACCUCAUAAAAACCAAAAAUGAAAUCAAGAUUCUGAUUAAAGGGUGCAGCUGCAAAUAAUUUUGACGGAAAAAAAAAGAGAAAAAUCUAGUAUGAAAUAUUAAGAAAGGGAACACAAAGAGAGUAUCCAUAGGCUGCAGAAAGUUGCCCUAAACAUGAUCAACAACUUGUAGACCCUGCCUACAAAAUCCAGCUUCAAAUGUACACACAGACACUUAAAUGCGCAAGUCCAUGGCCAUUAAAGCAACAUGUCUAAUUUAUUCUUAUAUUUGUUUUUUUUAAUCCAAAUUAUGGAAAAGGAAAACAUAAAAUGGUGAAU
rnacentral:misc_RNA from 1 species